UACGUAGGGUGCAAGCGUUGUCCGGAAUUAUUGGCGUAAAGAGCUUGUAGGCGGUUUGUCGCGUCUGCUGUGAAAUUUCGGGGCUCAACCCCGAACUUGCAGUGGGUACGGGCAGACUAGAGUGUGGUAGGGGAGACUGGAAUUCCUGGUGUAGGCGGUAGAAAUGCGCAGAUAUCAGGAGGAACACCGAGUGGCGAAGGCAGGUCUCUGGGCCAUAACUGACGCUGAGAAGCGAAAGCAUGGGGAGCGAAACAGG
rnacentral:rRNA from 1 species